GGAUGGCGGCCUGGAGGCCAAGCCAUCGCCCUCGCCCGCCAGGGACCGCGAGCGGAAGGAGACGCCUCUCUGAGCGCCCUGGUGCCUCCCAGUCCCGUUCGGAGGACCUGCGGGCUGUGGGACAGAGGCUUUGCCGGAUAGUGUCAGCUUAUUUGAAAAUUAAUUGUCUUCGUUAAAGUAACGAUUUUAACUCUUGAGUGGCUUCUUUUUAAACCAAAAAUUCUCUGUCUUUGCUUUUUUAUCACAGCAGAAUCAGGAUCUCUUUCUCAUCCAAGGGGGGAACCAAACCAGGUCACUGCUGCGCCUGUGGGUCGCUCACGGCACCCGCGGGGCUCUGUGGACCUAGUCACUCUUGCUUGUGCCUUCCACACCUCCUCGGUGCACACACGGCUGGUGAGGGGCCCUGCUGGGUGUCCCUGAGCCGCCCCGCCCGUCCCAUCCCUCUCCCUUCUCAGCUCUCAGCCCGGAAUGGGUGCUGCAGGGGCACCCACGGAGGGUGUCUGACUGCGGACCUUCGCCCACCGGCCCUCUGGGCGGGCGCCGCCAGGCUGGCAGUGCUCCUCUGCCUGGGGAGCAGGCGCGUUUCCGGUCGUCCGUGCCAUCUCAGCCUCCAAGUGACCAGAUGGAGCCGGGAAAAGGGCUUUGCUGAUGCGUGUCAUGACUCACCCACCUCUUCGGCCUUGGUCAGUCCACUCGCUCCCUGGCAGUGGCUGGGGCAGCUGGGCCGGCGUGCUGUCAGCCACCAGGCCUGAGCAGCAGCUGGCUCCACUCUUCCUCACCUGUCCUCGCUGGCUGGGCUGGGGCUGGGGCUGCAGUCCUCGCCUUGGCGGCUUCCUGGCCCCUGUGAGUGAGCUCUGCCUCUGCCAGCCCCGAGUGGCUGUGGGGUUUCUGGGAUGGCUGAUCUGGAAUAACUUGCUAAUUCCUCAUUUGCUUCUUUGCCUUUAAACAUCCCACACAUUAUCUGUCAAAGUGUAGACAGCUGGCUGCUGCUCCAUCUUAGAGCCUGGUGAGUUCUGGUGUACACAAGGUCCCAGGGACCUCGAGGUAAUGGCGUGGAGGACUGGGGUGAGCUUCCAUGAGGGCCCUAGUGCUUGCAUGCACUUCUCCCUGCAACCGUUUUGCUAAAAGUUUAUUUAAUGUUCAUUGAGUCGUCACUUCCCUGCGUACAGUAAGUUCUAUAUCCAGCCAGUGAGUUACUGUUAUCUUUAGCACUGAACUAAGCAAAUCAGGGUGAAAUACUCUUAUGGUAAAAUUACUGAUGAAAUUUGAUAGAAGAGACAAGUCUUUGUAGAAAUAAGCUCACCAGUGCUCUAAAGGAACACGUAGCUAGAAACCUGGUGGCUGAAUUUGUGUAAGUUUUCUAGCACAGGUUUUGUGUGUGCAGCACUGGGGAGGGAAGACGGGUGUGACCCCAGCCGCAGGCUCCAGUACUGAGUUGCACCUUGGCCCCAAGACUUGAGGAAAUGUAUUUCUGCAAGACAGUUAAAACUAAUUCCAUAUAGGAAGUGGGCAGAGGAAUUAAAGUGGAUUAACAGAGAUCACUGUAGAAAAUACGUUUCAUGAAAGUUGUGGCUGGAGUGUCUGUUUUGUUUUGGUACCGGGGAUUGAACUUGGGUCCUUGUGCUUUCGAGGCAGGUGGCUGCACCACUGAGCUAAAUCCCUGGCCCCAUGGAGUGUCUGUUUAUAGUUGAAUGUGCUCAAGGCCAAAGCCUGUGCUGGUUAAGACAGGAAAUCAGUGCUCCUGGCAGAAGGGUUUGACAGUGGCCUCCUGGGACCCCAACACACAGGAGGGAAGGGCACCCAGACCUCCUGUCUCCAGCGAGGGGCUGAGAACUGAGCUGCAGUCUUACUUUUUCACAUUUAUUUCCAGAUCCAGUUUCUCUGGCUUGAGCCAGGACUUAAGGAGGCUACUGCUCCGCUGAGUUGCUCAGAGCUUCCCCUCCUGGCUCACUGCUCAUCCCACCACAGUGCCUUGGGCAGCCACUGCCUUGCCUCGCCUUCCCCGAAGAUGUCCACGGUGGAGGUGACACAGGAGGCCGCAGGCACAGAUGGCUGGCUGGCUUUGGAGGGUUCCAGAGAAAUGCAGGGCAAGGGGGGCUCAUAUCCUGAGCCAGCUCUCUACCCAUUCUGGAAGUCUGGGGUCGGGAUAGGCAGGAGACACCGCUUGGGCUUCCCAGAGUCAGAAGCUGCAGGCAGGGUGGCAGUGAUCCACGGAGCGGCACCUAGACGCGGGACCGGCCAGGUGGGUCAGGGCACUGUGUCUUUCGGCGGGGGAGGCUGGGGUUGGAGGUGACCAAGCACGGUGGACGGACACCUUCAGCUGCUCACAAGCCCCGAGUCUUCCAGCUGUGGCCACCUGUCUUGCACAGAGAAGUAUUCACUCCCACUGGGUGUGACUUGUGUGUAGUCUGUCACCAUAGCAACGUGUAAACCUGUUUUGUUCAGAUUUAUGUUGUGAAAUGGGAGCAUUAACCAGCUUGCUGUUUUCACCCUGCUUUGCAAGUCUGUUUUCUCCCUCAGCAGAUCUGUGCCACACAAGAGUCCCAGACAGGCGAGUCCCAUGCCACACACUCGCCCUGUGCCUGGCUCCCGGCCAAUCCAGCUUCGCCUUUUUUUGGCUGCAAGGGAGGAGCUGGAGUUGCUCAGGAGCUGGGGUGCACCUUUCUUCUAGUGUGGAUUUCGUGAGAUCUUAUUUGCUGGGGUGGUGGCUUUGUCCUUACGGGUAGGGUCCAGGGGUAGCCCGGAGCUGCCCAGCGGGCAUCGGGUAUAGCAGCGUAGGAUUCUGUGUCAUCUCCAGAACUGAGAUGGGGGUUCUAAGGUAGCACUGGCAGGGAAUCUGCAUCUGGGGAAUAAAGCAGCCACCCCUGGUCGUCAGCCUGGAGGCACCUGUGUGCUUCUGAGCCAGGGGUGUCUGUUCACACUCAUUCCCGGGACACAGGUAUCCAGAUAUAGUCCACAGGAAGCAGCCCACACCUUUCCAGAGUAAAACCCAACUCACCUGGCACUGGGAACAGCUCAAGUUGCCACACACACAGUCACACACAGUGCCCUCUCGUCUGUCUGCUCUUACUAAUGGCUGCUUUUCAGAUGAGGGAAACCCCAAGGCAGAGGCUGAUGCUUCAGGGAGCAGGGGACGCACUCCAGAGCCACGCUGACCUGGACAUGGGCAAGUCCAGGGACUGCCACACCAGAUUUCAAUAAAUUUUAUUUGGACAAGAGAACUUGUGCCACGACCAUUCGACAGCAUGAUUCAGGACUGCAGCACUCCUGAGUGGCCACACAGACGCACAGCGUGGAAGAAAGUCGCCCCUCAGAGCUGACCAUGAUCCAGUCCACAACACCGACGGACACACGCUGAGAAAUUUCUUCCGGUCAUGACCAGCAUGAAAAAAUUCAGGACAGAGAUACUGAGCAAACAUUCUGCAAAUGUGCACAGCAAUAUGCUGCAUUUAAGAGUUAAAAUCUGAUUCUACUUUAGUGUUAGCAUCAAGCCCUGGGGAGAAAUCCACACAAAUCUCUUGGUUUCUACCGGUGCGGAACUAUCCCGAGGCUGUGCCAGGCAGUGGGCUACUGAAGGCCUUUCCAGUCUGUCUGGUGUGCGUCGCCUCUGGCUGCAAGAAUUCAUUCAUCCACUGUUAAACCCAGGAGAGAGCAAUACAGGUCUCGAGUCUUAUCCCGCCCAAGAGGAAAACACUGUGCUCAAGUGUCAGUCUGCCAGGAAGACAGGAGAGUUAAGGCUUUGGUGACGUGAGAAUCCACUGAGAAAUGAUGUUCCCUUCAGGCGAGGUAAGAUAGUGUGACCGUGACCUCGUGGGGCAAGCAGGCCCAAGGUGGCCCAACUGCGCUGCCACAUGGGAGCGGGCCGAGGCUGGGGCUGACUAGUACGUGGAGGAGGCUGUGCUCAUGGCGUCUUCAGAGAUCUUGGUGCUGGCAGGGUGGAUGCUGGCGAAGUACUUGACGUCACUGUCGCGGUCCAUCUGCAGGGCCAUGAUAGUCUGCUCCACAGCCUCCUGGUGGCAGCUGGCAGAGGCGAGGAAAUACUCUGGCAACGACACGAGAGCACGUGUCAAGGCAAGUGUAACAAGUAUUUAGUCACUACUGUCAGGGGCCAUGGCCUCAAACCAUCACUGACCUGACCUGCCAGAGGAAGAAGCCCUGCACAGACUGGUCUGUUUUCAUGACAAGAAAUCUCAAGACAUUCAGAGGGAGCUAAGGAACACUCAGCUCAUCGGUGAAUUAAAACAUUAGGCCUCUUAGCCAUCAGCCGGCUUAGCAAAGGAAAAACGCUUGCAGACAUCGGCUGUGUGCACUCUUCCUAAGACCGAAGCAGCCUUCGCAGCUCUCUGGAAGACUCACAAAGGGCAAGGAGAAAAGCAGCAGUCCUCGUCUGUGUGCUCUGAAGUUCAUGACUGCCUUCUGUGCCGCCCUCCAGAGUUCCUGCAUCGAUCGUCAUGAACUCUGUGUGGGGCAUUGGGGGGGGGCGUGACUCCUGCUGAGGGGAGGGAGGCAGCUGCUGUGGCCCGGGGUCGGUGCCGAGACAAGCUGUGAGCUAGAAAGAUGCUGGUGCCAGGCUAAGGGCCCCCUCCCCUGGCAGGAGCAGCGACGGCCUCAGCGCCCCACUAACACGCGGUGUGCUCAGAGCGCAGCGAGCCCAUGAGCUGGCAGCUGGCCGUUCCGCUUCAUCUUCGGCCUCCCGGUCUCUGCCUACCUUUCUCCAGGAGCGUCUGCCUCAGAGUCUUGGCGAGCAGCACUCUGACGUUCGGAACCCUGUCGUUGGCCAGCAUGAGCAGGUGUGGCAUGAGGUGCACAGCAAACUGGUCCAUGGGGAGGCAGUCGUCCUCGAUGACAGUCUAGUGCAGAGAACCGAGGGCAUCAGCACCCGCCGGCGCAGCCUCUAGGGGGCCGCUGUCUACCCAGUGUCCCAGGUGCUUGGGGACUGGACCAAAAAUGCCAUCAUCGGGAGGGGAAUGGUGGCCAGUGGGCAGUGACACACAGGUCGGCAGACAGAAUGCGUGUCGGUGCCCAGCAGUCGGGUGACGGCUGUGGGUCGACCGAAAUGCUGACGAGAAAGACUGACUUCUCAGCUCAGACAUGAUAGUGCUCGUGCUCGUGCUCGUGCUGGCGGAACACCCCAGUGUACACAGGCACCGGGACAGCACACGGCACCCUGUAAAUGUGGACAGGAUCUCUGUGUCAAUUAAAAAUGAAUUUUAAAAAAUACACAUUUUGAAAAAGGAUGCUUCCCUGCCCAGACAGUUUUAAAGCUAUUCUUUAGAGAGUGCCUGGUGCUGCUGAGGGGCGCGGUUCUGGGACGCAUACUACGGGACACUGCUGCCCACUGUAGACGGGUACAGGCGGGAUGUGCUCGGCUGGGGCCGGGGCGGGCAGCAGCUCAGAGGCCUCACCUGGCACACAAAGACGAAGGCCUGGCGGCCCAACCACCGGGGGCACCUGCCGAAGUUCUCCACCAGUUCCCGGAUGAGAUCUGCGCCAAAGGUUGGGGGUGAGGCUGCAUGCAGCUUCUUCACCAUCUCGCUGACCUGCAGGGAGCACAGAGAGGGAGGAGCACAGGCCUGGGACUUCCAUGUGGUGCUGUCAGACACGGGAGACGCGGCGCCUACGUACCAGCUUGUAGGAGAUCCAGCGGACGGAGGACACCUUGUCUGCACACAGGUUCAGAGCGAUGGGGCGCAGAUAGUCAUAAACGUCUCUGGGGCUGUACAGCUCCAGAAGUAAGAUCAGCUGUCUACAAAGACAGUGAAAACAACUACAGCUGCGUGCAGGCUAAUGUCUAAAUGCCCUGUGACACCUGAUGGUAACGGUGAGGAGGCAGCCAGGCAGGCCUGCUGCACAGCAAACAAACUCCUGAGUCUCCUCCUCCCUGCAGUGCCAGGACACUAGCUCUUGGGUUUUUCCCCAGUAACGGACUUAACCUAAAGCCAUCUCCUGCAUGCUGGGCAAGAGCUCUUCUCUUAAAUUGCACCCGCAGCCCUUUUGUGAGAGGAGGUCUCCCUGGAUGGUCUAGGCAGCCUCAAACUUGUGAUCCUCCCACCUUAGCCUCGUGAGCAGCUGGGAUUUCAGGGGUUCAUCACUGUGCGUGGUGAAUGCUACAAGACUGUGGGUUCAUCUUGCCACGGUGUGGAUGUUGUGCGCCCCCAGGCUCACACGUUGGAAGCCUGGUCCCCAGUGUGAUUUGUCCUGCGGGGAGGUGGGACCUCCCAGACAGAGCAAGCAGGACAGAAGGCCAUCGGUCACAGGCACCACCCAGGGUAAGGGGCGGGUGCCGUCUCGCAGGAAGGUGUAGGAAGGCCAGUUCCAUUCUGCCUCUUCACAGUGCCAUGGGCCAGACAGCCCCCUUCUCUUAUACGUUAUUGUCACAGGCGUUUUUGUUUUUGGUACUAGGAAUUGAACUCAAGACCUUGUGCUUGUGGGGCAGGCUCAUUGUCACUGUGCUAAAAUCCCUGGCCCACGGGUGAUUUGUCAGUGACGAGAAACAUACACAGGGCUAAAUGGAAAACAGUGCACGUUUUCAGUCCUGGCCUGGGACAUCCUGAGAAGUGCCACCCACCAGUAAGGGGUCUCAAGAAGAGCCCAGGCAGGGCUGCGUGGGGACAGCUGGCUGCGGGCAGGGUGGAGUGGCAGACCUGUGAUGCUCUUCCCAGUUGGGAGGGGAGCUAGGACUUCAUGAUGCCUCAUGAUGCUGCUUCCCAGAGGGGCCAGGCCCUUGCUGGAGAGGUGCGACAUGCAAACUGUCCCUGAAACAUGGCUGAGGGGGGGAUGCAGCUCAAGCUACAGUCAAUGGCCUGUGCUGGACAGGGCUGCAAGUUGGUCUUCUUCCUGCCACUAACUCCCACCCCACCCCGGGUCAAGAAUAGAUAUCCUUUAAAAGGCAGGCAGUGACUGGCAAGCAUCAGGGGUCAGGGGUGAGUGCUGGAUGCUCCCUGGGCCCCAUGGCAGGUGCAGAGGAGGGCAGGAGCCCUUCCCAAGUAGAGACCUCUCCCUUCCACAUCACAUGGAUGUGAAUCCCCUCUGGCAGGUGCAGUGAGGGGCAGUGAAAGGCUGAGGCACAGGCACUGUCACCAUAGCAGCCUGCAAUCCCCACCAAGAACAGAAGGAUGCAGGUCACCCACAGUGCUCCCAAUGCCACACUAGCACUGAGGCCACAGAGUGUAGAAACAUCAGGGGACAGCACCCGAGACAGUCAAGAGGAGCUUGCAGGACUUACUCGGCCAGCUCGGCUCGGAAGCGCCAGUUUCUGCUAUUGUCUGUCACCAAAAACUCCUGGAGUUGAUACAGAUACUCUCUUCUUUUGUCAAUAUGAAGAAGCUGAAGUAACAAAAUAAAAACAGUUUUAUUUAAUCAGGACAAA